AAAUUGGGCUUAGUAGAAAGAAAACUCAUUAAUAGAUAAAAGCAGAAUUUUUCCUUCUUGUGGAGGAAACCACUAGACUAAGUUAGAAACAAAUUGAAAUCUAUCCACUUUUUACUAAAAAAAGAAGAGAAGAGAAAAACAGAAUAGAGGAGCAAGGGAGAAAGAGAGAUUGACGCAUGAGAGGGAGAAGAGAAAGAAGAGGAAAACAAAACUCACAACCAAAGAUUAAUUGCUAUUCCAAAUUUUCAGGUAGGCGAUGAGUCAUAGUUGCCGAGUUCGGGGAGCUUGUCCCUUGCUGUUUCAGUAAUUGAGUCGCUCUGAUAGGAUGUCUUGGGGGAUUCACAUAUAUAUUCAAUUAGUAUUUCUUCAAAAUGACUUGAACAGUGUCAAUUGGUUUUUGGAAUGAUUCUAUUGCUUUCAAUAAUUUUUGACUUCAAAUUUUAGAACUUAUGUUUAUUCGUUUUAAUUUUAUCUCCGCUGCUUAAUCCUUAUUUAAUUAGGUAUUCGAUUCAAAAGUAGGUGUGACACCUUUUAUAUGAAAUAAAUUAAUUGAAUUUUUGGCAAAUAAAAAUCAAGGGGAAAAUUAAAGGGUGUUACAAUUGGUAUCAGAGCAGGUCGGUCUAGUCAGACCAAGUUAUAAUUUUGUUAAUCCCUAUUAAGCGACAUGUGUGUGAACACUGUCAAUGCUUAAUUAACUACUUGUUGGUUGUCCAUCAAGCCUAUGUGUUAUGUGAUUGCUAUGAUGUGUGGUUGUUGUUAGUAUUAUGUGUUGGACGUGCUUUUGUGCUCCCUGUGAUGUAUUGUGAUCCUUUAUUUUAGUGCUUCCUUUUCCAUUGUGUAACCUAUGUUAGCCUGUUAUGAGGUUAUGAAACUGUGUAUCCACAUGAUCUAGACCUUUAUACAACUAUUCGAUGCGUUGUUGUAUUUGUGUGACGCUUAUCAUGUCGUGGUUAGCCUUCUUUGUUGAAAGGGAUUGUGGGGCUAGUAUGAGUAAAUUCCUUGUUAGAAAAAAAUAGUCCAGCUUUAGUUCUUGUAGAUUAUAUUUGAUUAGGUAUCAAUCUUUUGGGUACUCCUGCAGAAAGAGGUGGCUGGUACAUGUACUAGUGAUUUGAAAAAUAGUUAGUUAAAGUGAGUUAGAAAAUUAACUAAGGUAUUUUUUGGUUUGUUAAAUAGGUUAGUUUGAAUUUUUAAGAGGAUUAGUCAGUUACCUAAUGAUGGAUAAAUAAUGUGGUCAUGGAUUAUUAAGAUAAAAUGGUUUAGUCUAUGUUUUUGUGGAUUUUGUUUCCUGAUCUGAAUUCCCUGGUUACUCUUGUACUACUCUUUUAGAAAUGAAUGGAUGAGUGGCCUUAUAACUCCUAUGUAGAUUUUAUAGUUAAGAAUCAAUUUUGGAGAUACUCCUGUAGGAAUAGAUGGUGACUAGAGAGGUUAGUUAUUGGGGGCCAUGAUGCCAUGAGAGGAAAUUUGUGGAAGGUGUAGAGUGAUAGGCCAAUUAUAUUGUAAUUGGAAUUGUCUAAGUUAUUGGUAGCUAACCUUUAAUAUUUUUCUAGUUACAAUAGAUCAGCUCUUUGUUUCUUAACCCAAUGUUGAGUAAUGCCUAGCUUUUUAGUUGUUGAUGAAAAACUUCCUAAACUUUUGCUUCUACUUGAGAUACUAAAUUUUGUUAUUGACUACUUGUGAGCACCUUUUUAAGGGAAAGAAGAAUUUAAGCUCAUGUGAUAUUGUUGAUUUAAUAUCGGUAUCUGGUUUAGAAAUUAGAUUGUACUAAUAUGAGGUGAAAUAGUGUAAGGUUUGGAUGUCAUGACUCAUGAACUUUGAAAAGGAGCAAAGUCAAAGAUAAAAGAUUUUCAGGUAGGCGAUGAGUCAUAGUUGUCGAGUUCGGGGAGCUUGUCCCUUGCUGUUUCAGUAAUUGAGUCGCUCUGAUAGGGUGUCUUGGGGGAUUCACAUAUAUAUUCAAUUAGUAUUUCUUCAAAAUGACUUGAACAGUGUCAAUUGGUUUUUGGAAUGAUUCUAUUGCUUUCAAUAAUUUUUUACUUCAAAUUUUAGAACU